AAGGCAUAAUGAGGACGAAUUAGUUGAAGUCUGAGAUUUGUGAUGACCAAUCACCUCCUAAUCAUUCUGA